rnacentral:lncRNA from 10 species
ACAGGCCCAAGAGGCAGCAGCAAAGGUCAGCAUCUCCACCACCCCAUCAGGUCUUGCCCAUGUUGACCCAGGUGCUGGGACAGGAGGCACACACUGAACUUACUGCUCCCGUUGACUUCUCAUCUGGUUCCAGGCUUUGAAGAGGGUCAGAAGGAUGGAAGACUUGGCCCCUCCUCUCUAGUAGUGUACACCAUGCCUGAGGAGACCACAUAUCAACAUGGAACAGCCCCGGUUAGGGCACAAGGGCGCUGGGGCCUGGACAGUCAUGCCAUGGGAGCUCAGUGGGAGGCUGGACUUAGGCUGAGGUGCGUGGGGAGAGCUUCCUGGACAGCUGGGAUCUAAGGAUGCUUAAAUCAUGGACAGGAAAGCAGCUGCAGCCUAACGAAGAGCAGGGGUGUUAGGAGGCUUCCCUAAAGUUCUGUGACCCUGUAGAACUGUUGCCACUGCUAUGGUCACUGCUGCAACUACAAGCACUGCAUCUGGCAUGGGAGCUUGAUGGACCAGAGCACAUGCAAAGAGGGCAUCGGAAAUCCCAGAAGGGUAUGCGGGACCUUGUACCCUGUGGGAUUCCCAUGCUUACUUCAGGCAAACAGUAAGCCAGUAAGUGGAUGGCUGGCAGAGCUUCCCCCAGACUCUGAGGCUCUCAAACCCAUCUUUCGUGCAG